CCUACGGGUGGGCAGCAGUGGGGAAUAUUGGACAAUGGGCGAAAGCCUGAUCCAGCCAUGCCGCGUGUGUGAAGAAGGCCUUCGGGUUGUAAAGCACUUUCAGUGGGGAAGAAAGCCUUGGGGCUAAUACCCUCGAGGAAGGACAUCACCCACAGAAGAAGCACCGGCUAACUCCGUGCCAGCAGCCGCGGUAAUACGGAGGGUGCGAGCGUUAAUCGGAAUUACUGGGCGUAAAGCGCGCGUAGGCGGUCUGAUAAGCCGGUUGUGAAAGCCCCGGGCUCAACCUGGGAACGGCAUCCGGAACUGUCAGGCUAGAGUGCAGGAGAGGAAGGUAGAAUUCCCGGUGUAGCGGUGAAAUGCGUAGAGAUCGGGAGGAAUACCAGUGGCGAAGGCGGCCUUCUGGACUGACACUGACGCUGAGGUGCGAAAGCGUGGGUAGCAAACAGGAUUAGAUACCCCGGUAGUC
rnacentral:rRNA from 1 species